rnacentral:sRNA from 1 species
CCAGACAUGGCUUGGCUAUCCUUGGAG